rnacentral:lncRNA from 1 species
GUGCGUGGUGGACGACGGAGGCGGCGCCGGCGAAGUCGCACGUCCCGCUGCCCCGGCCGUUCCGCUGGUAGUAGCUGUUGAACGCGUACGAGGCGUGGGCGACCACGGUGUCCGGCUCGAAGCACGCUCCGCCGGGCUGGAUGGCGCCGCAGUCGGCGCCGUGGCCGCACGCGUACUCCAGCGCCGCCUGCAGCCGCGCGUCCCCGACGGACGCGUUCGCCACGCACCAGCUCGGCAGCGCGCCGCCCCGGAAGUCGAACUCGUACACCUUCGUCUGGUUCGGGUAGAACAGGCCGAAGUGCUGCUCGAUGUCGUCCGCUCCGUCGCCCUUCUGGUUCUCGUUGAAGAGGGCGAAGACGUACACGUCCAUGUCGGCGCCGGGGCGGUACGGGGUGCCCGUGUCGCCGGACAGCACGCGGUUGAUGAGGUAGUUGUUGUACGCUCGCGCGUUUGCUACCGAAGCCGCUUCGUCCCCAGCCUCCUCCUCCUCCAAACAUCGCCUCCCGCUCCCGCCGCCGCGUGGGCGUGGCCUGCCGCCGGGUUUGGGCCUGCCGGCGGAAGGCCACCCGCUCUCCGAAACAUACGCGCGCGGACCCUUUCGCGCCAUGAAAUUUGGCUCCUGCGCACUGGAACUGGACGUCCCCAGCUUCUCCAUCGCGAAGUACGUGGCGUCGAGCUGGGCGUCCAGGAGGCUGUGGUACACGAGCCCCGUCACGGGGUCGCGCACGCCGGCGGCGUUGGAGUUCCCCAGGGCGUAGUCGAGGGAGAUCUUGUCUGGCUCCUCGACGUACGCGAAGAACGGGUAGGCGUUGACGGUGAGGUACGACCCCGUCCGCUCCAGGAAAUCGAGCAUGGGCUUCAUCACCGACGCCGCGACGUCGUCCCGGAACCUGCCCGCCGACGGCGGCCACGACGCCUGGAGCGCGGUGAACGCGAUCGGCGUCGACACCUUCACGGCCUCGUCCAGGCCCAGCUUCACCAGCGCGUCGUGCACGUUGGCCAUGGCCGGGACGAGCUGCGCCGUCAGGUUCUUAUUGGCCUCCUCGAACACCUCGUUCCCCACGGCCACGCCGUGGAUCCGCGUGGCGGGGUAGUACGCCGCCACGUUUCUCCGCACCCACCGCCGCGCGCUCGACGGGUCCGCGGCCGCCGCGGCGAGGUUGUCGUUGGGUAGCAUUACCAUCACCGUGAUCCCGGUGUUGGCCAGGGCCUUGAGCACCUUGGAGUUGGCGUCGUAGAGCCUCACCGAGGUGAUGCCGCUCUUCUGCAGAAGCUUUACCGUCGAAGCCGUGUCCGGCAGGUGGUUCCCCAGCCGGCCGUAGCUCACGCCCACCACGCCGGCAUCUACAUUGUGCACGACGAACAAAAAUUAGCACUAGAUUGGACCUGGAAAAUAAGCGGCAGUCUGAGCCGAAAGCGGUUACCUGCAGGGGAGAAGGGGAGCAGAACCGAUGCGGUACCGAGGAGGACGACGACGAGGUUACUCAGGGCCAUGCUCCUCACUCCUCAGUAGUCAGUAGCGGCGAGGAGACGACAGGGCGAGACCGCGAGACAUGCUGAGCAACCGAAGGUGCGUGGAAUUUAAAUAACCGGGUCGUCGCCAGUCUAAUGGAACCAUCUAGGAGUACUACUGUUUAUCAGAAAAACUAGGCACGUGCUCUGCAUGUAAAAAAACACAAGCAUUAAAAAAAUCAUGUAUAAAUUUUGGGAUCAUACCGUGUACAGUAACUAACCAAAAUCGAAUAUUUUUUUUAUUUUUAGUCCAUUUUUAAAACAAAUUUCAAAUUUAGGCCGCUUAGGAAAAAAAUUUCAAAACUAUGCCGUUUGGCUCCGCCACCAUACAUGGCGGGGCAAAUAUACAUGACCCCGCCAUGCAUGGCGGCAGAGUGCACUGGUAACGUGGCGCAUGGCUGGCAGAGUACGCUGACGUAUACCCCGCCGUGACCGAUGGCGGGUUUGCCCACACCGCCGUGGAUCAUGGCGGGGCACGUCCAGCACCACCAAAAGCCGCGCUCCCGCUCUUUCUCUCCCUCUGUCCUACUCUACCCGCGCCCGCGCCCGCAUCUUGUUUAGUUCAAAAAAAAUUUAGAAAAUAGGUACUGUAGCAUUUUCGUUUAUAUUUCACAAAUAUUAUCUAAUUAUAGACUAAUUAGGAUCAAAAAAUUUGUCUCGUCAAUUUCGAUCAAACUGUACAAUUAGUUUUUAUUUUUAUUUAUAUUUAAUACUUUAUGCAUAUGUCUAAAGAUUCGAUAUGACAAAAAAUCUAAAAAAAUUUGCAAAAAUUUUUAGGAACUAAACAAGGCUGACAAGGCUGACAAGACUUGGUGGUCUGGUCACGUGAACAUGCACGACCGACUCGGGAAAAGUGGCCGAACUGACCACUCAGGCCUUGUUUAGUUAUGAAAAAUUUUCGGAUUUUGCUACGGUAACAUUUUCGUUUUUAUUUGAUAAAUAUUGUCUAAUUAUGAACUAAUUAGGAUCAAAAAAUUUAUCUCGCGAUUUAUAGAUAAACUGUAUAAUUAGUUUUUAUUUUCGUCUAUAUUUAAUAUAUUAUGCAUAUACCAUUAUAUUCGAUGUGACGGGAAAUCUUAAAACUAGUUUUAGAACUAAACAAUGCUGGGCGCAGCUUUAUGGACAUGAUGACUACGGCUGCUGCUAGAGCUAGCCUUUGUCAAAGCGACAUGAUGACCCUAAAACUCAAAAACUUUUCAAAAUUUUUUAUCACAUUAAAUCUUGCGGCACAUAUAUAGAAUAUUAAAUAUAGAUAAAACAAAAACUAAUUACACAGUUUGCCAGUAAAUUGCGAGAUGAAUCUUUUGAGUCUAGUUACUCUAUGAUUAGACGAUGUUUGUCAAAUAAAAACGAAAUUGUUACAGUACCGAAACCAAAAAAAUUUCUCAACUUAAACAAGACCCUAGACUACAGAUGUGACCCUAGACUCCGCUCAAUUCGUACGUGAGCAGACCACAUGACAAACAUGUCUUGUCAGCCUUGUUUAAUUUCCAAAAAAAUUUCAAAAUUUUUCAGAUUCACCGUUACAUCAAAUCUUAGACGUAUGUAUGAAGUAUUAAAUAUAGAUAAAAAUAAAAACUAAUUAUACAGUUUAGUCGAAAUUAACGAGACGAAUCUUUUGACCCUAGUUAGUCCAUGAUUGGACAAUAUUUUUCAAAUACAAACGAAAGUACUACAGUAUCGACUUUCCCAAAAAUUUUUGGAACUAAACAAGUCCAGCUCUUUGCCUCGUGUGCAUUGCAUUGCUUGGUACGUACCCCGCCAUGAUCCAUGGCGGGUAGCCCUAACCCGCCAGCGAUCAUGGCGGGAUCCAGGUCAGCCACCUCGGCCAUACAGCGCCACGUGGCAGGGUCUACUCCGCCACCAUGCAUGGCGGGGUGCAGUGUUUUUGCCUCACCAUGCAUGGUGGCGGGGCCAAACGGCCUAGAUUUGAAAAAUUUUUAAGAAGCGGCCUAAAUUUGAAAUUUGUUUUAAAAAUGGGCUAAAAAUAAAAAAAAUUCCCAAAAUCGAUUGUCUUCCUUAUCUACUCAUAGUCUCGUACUCUCAUACUAACAUUAUAAUCGUAUUCCGUUCCUGAAUAAAUUAAUUUCUAAAAUUAUCUUAUGUCAUUUUUAAUAUUUAAUCAAUUUUAUAGAAAAUAUAAGUAUUUAUUAUACCAAUGAACAUAUUAUAUAUGAGUACAUUUAUGAUGCAUCUAAUUAUACUAUUUGAUUUUAUAAGUCUUGGUGCUUUUUUAUAAAUUAAACUAAACUAAGUUUUUUUUUACUAAAGACAAUUUUGAAUUUUUUUUCGACGAAAGAAGAGUUAUAUUACAUAAUAGCUGGGUAUAUGAACAUGUUACAACACUUUAAUUACACAAAUAUACAUAAAAUCUAAAUUAUAUCCACGCUAUGAAUAGCUUCUUGUAAGCACUCUGAACUUCAUAAAUAAUUUUGACUAAAGACAACUUUGGAAGUUACUCCAUCCGUUCUAAAAUAACUAUCAUUUUAGGUUUUCGUGUUGCAAGUUUAACUAGAUUUAUACAAAAUACGUGCAACAUGUAUUUCCAAAUAAAUUUGUUAAAAACUAGAUUUAAAGAUCUUUCCGAUAAUAAUAAUUAUAUAUGUACCGUAAGUAUUAAUAUUUUUUAAUAUAUAUUUAAUCAAAGUUGUUUCUCGAGAAACGAAAAUGAUAGAUAUUUUGGGAUGAAGGAAGUAAUUUACUAAUUUUUGGCACGUUUUAUAAAUUUUAGAAAAAUAAUUUUUACAGUUGAGUUUUGACCUAUCUCUAGAGAUCGGUUUCUAGACGCAACUAGAGACGGCUGGAACAGUCGUCUAAACAAAUCAUUUGUAGUCACCUCUAAUCUAAAAUGUUUGUGUGUGGUAGUGAUAUCACUGCCCUGCUGGCACAUUCCAUACACGUCGCGCUUUCCAUACGAGAUGAACGAAAACACUAUGCAAUGAAGAUCUGUGCGCUCGUCAAGUCGUUUUCCGGAAAAGGAGACGCCUCACAACUAAAGAAAAUACAGUAUUUUUUCCAGAGUAAAUCAUAUCUUCAGUCAUACUCACAAUCAUUCAAAUUUUCUCCGUCCCAAAAUAAACACCUUCUCAAAAAUGAAAUUAAUUAUAUCAAAAUGGAACAAAGGGAGUAUGCUUCAAAGACUGUGGGAACUCCUUUUCAGGUCACUUGAUCUGGCGUUCGACCAGCUACUGAUAAGGCCAUAAGGGUGAAUGGGUGAUGGAAGCUGGGUAGCAAUAAUGACGCAAACCCGUUCUUUAGAGAAAAAGAUAUAUAAGCGCCGCACGUUCGGUGCGGAUGAUGAGUUGUACUUGUCCACUAGCUACAAUCAUGUCAUGUCCAAAAGAAAAGCUAGGUUAAGCACUAAAACAGUCCAAGUGCUAAGCCAUGUGAUAUCUAAAACGAGGUUUGUUGGACAAAGUGAACCGUGGGCCCUUGUGAUUUAGAACUAGAUCAUCAAAAGCACAUUUUGGAACCUGGAAUCACUUGAAGUCCAAGUUAUUAUUUUACAGCAGGUUAUUAUUUUACAGCAGGUCCAACUUAGUUCGAUACACUUAGCUAGCACCCUUUAGAUCCAGGUACGCUAGAGCCGAUAAUACAUCUUCAAACAAUACUUUCGGAUAUCCCUUUUGUAUGGAUAUUUUCGUUCCUUUAAGCUGGUGCAUUGGAAUCGUAAGGAAUGGCCUUAUCUUUUUUUCUUUUUGAGGAACAGGUUGGAUUGAAACCCUACUGAAAAUUUUAUUAAUGUAAAAGAGUCGAGUACAAAUAGAACCACAAGAAACAGAAAGGGUCAAAAAGAAAAUCAGAAGAAUUACAAAAAGCCUUCUAGCCAUGACCUCAUCUAAAAAGUGUCCAUUUUAAUUCACCUGCUUGCAAAGCGAUAUUUAUCAGUCAAUUGCAUUUGUUGUUACACAGAGGCAGGAGUAUUACAAUAUUCGACUUGUUGACAUAAAAAAUAUGUUUAUCUAAGCACUGAGAGUAAAACUUUCCCUAACACACAAAAACCCAUUGAUUCUCAAGAAGGGUUCAUGGGACUCCUAUCGCCAUGUGAACCUAAGAUGUUUUAGGUUUAAAAAACCAUAGGUUAUAUCUUUUAGAAGGCAUUAGCCAAGCCCUUUAGUCCAAUUCUUUUUGUCACACACAAUUCAUGUGUCCCUCUCGAGAGGCUCAUGGGCUCCUUAUCACCGAGCCCACAACAACCAAGUCUACUGGCACUGAGCCCCAUAGCAGCCAAGCUCAUAGACACCAAGCUCCCUGCCAACAAGUACAUAGUUGCUAAACCUACCACCAUGCUUAGCCCAUUUCUUGUACACAAAGGAGCCAUAGCCCCACCCCCUCGCGUCGGCUUCCCUAGCGAGGUUCUAGCGUGCAUGUAUCUACCGUGAUGAGUUGGGAGAAGAGGAAGAGGGAGGAGGGAACUAGAUCUGCCAUGAGUGGAGAGAGGUUUGAAGGAUGAGAGAAGAGUGAGAGAGGCAGCCCAUGAGAACUAAAAGGGAGUUGGAUGAGUGUGAGUAUGGGGCGUGGGUGAAAAUAAGAGUGGAGAAGUGUCAAUGGGCUAGGCAAUUUUCUAGUGGUGGUCCUCCUAAGAGUUCGGUCUAUGAAAAUAGACACCACUUUUAGAGGUAGCCCUCUAUGUUAAUUAAUUUUCAUAUGCGUUAAUAUUUUAAGUGUCUUUGUAAAUAAGCUAUCUCUAAAAAUAGUUAGAGUUUUAGGAGAGUAUGACAUCUUUAACCAUCCUCUGUAAAUAAAAAAGGAUAGUCUCAUAAAACCCCGCUCACUGUCCCUAACCCUGUUUGCGGUGACAUACUAUCCACAUCCCUGUCCCCACGAUCACAGCCCCCAACGAGUCCUAUCGCCGAAAUCGUAGAAACAAAUGACAUGAACAAAGAAAAUAAAGCAUGAUGGCUCCGGUCCAUGGAGACUUCCUAGUAAUAAUAUGCACAAGGAGGUCAAGUGACACAAUAGCAAUUGUAAUGUUUAUGUUGGUGUAUCUUUCACUGUGUGUUGUUCAUAGUAAGUUAAUAACCUAACUCUCAAGUCUCAAUGCGCAAUGUAAUGGGAGCCAGCGAAGGCCUUUGGUUCCUGUGUUUUGUGCUGAGAAGAGCCUCUUUGCAUGCUCCCAUCUCAAAAUAAGCAUAUUUCUACUAUCUCAAAUUUGUUCCAAAAUAAGUGUAUUAAUAGGUAUGGUCCACCUAGUUAAAAUAGUGUUUUUUUCUUUACUUUCUCUAUUUCUAAAGUACUCCCUCCAUUUCAAAUUAUAAGACCUUUUGUUUUUUCUAAUUACGUAGUUUUUUGCUAUGCACUUAGAUAUACACUAUGUCCAAAUUUAUAGUAAAAAGCUAAUAUAUAUAUCUAAAAUAUCUUAUAAGUUGAAAGCAAAUAUGUAAUCAAAGUAAUAUUAUCAGUUCGAAAAAAUUAGAAUUGCAUUUAUUUAUUCCGUGAAAGAACAGGAAAAACUUUACCGAGAAAGGAAAAAAAACUAUAUAAAAUAUUACAGGACACAGCCUAUGCUGGUCCGCCACUCCAACUCCUCCCCCCUAUAAAAGGGAAAACAAGCACCAAACAAACUGAACUACAACUGAAGAAAUUUGCAUUAAUUUUGCGACGAAUAGAAUAUGUAUCAUCAGAUUAUACUAAGAUAUUGUUUGAGGAUCCUGGAGUUGGCUCUUAAUCCAUGCCAAGGGCCACCGCGCGCAGUUCUUGCAGGUCAAACAAAAACUACAAAAUGACAAAGUCAAAGACUUUUUUCAUAUUCACUAUAGGAUACUGUCCGAGUGUCUGUGAUAUUCGGCAAAGAUUCAAAUAUAUGUGGCAAAGCUUUUGCUAAGUGUCACAUUCGAUAAAGACCACAAGACAAAUUUUUAGUCGGCAAAGGGGUUUUUGUCGGGUGCUAUUUUUCGAGUAUUCGGCAAAGGAUUUGCAGAAAUGAAAAAAUUCCAAAAUAAAUCUGAAAAAUUGCUGCCCCAAUUAUGGAAUUUUUCGUGCCUUUGCGGAAGAUAGGAUUCAAAUCCGUGACCUCUCUCGAGAGCGUCUCCCUUCUUAACUACUGCAUCACACUAUAACUUGUGUCUACAUUACAUUUCGAUUCCUCAUAUAUUAUACCAAAUUAUGUGUAAAAUUGAUUAUUUAAGGUCCUAAAUGAUUUCAAAUCAAAAAAUUGUCAACUACAAAGUUUCAUAACUUUUUGGGAUCUACAAUUUUUAUUUAGGAAGUUUCUUCAUCCGAGGUUGUUUAUAAAAUUUGAAUUUCAAAUUUGAGAAAUUCAAACGUAGUUUUUUUAUGACAAGAUGAUUUCAAAACAAAAAGUUUCCAACUACAAAGUUUCAUAACUUUUUGAGAUCAACAAAGUUUAUUUAGGGAGUUUUUCCAUCCUAAGUCAUUUAAAAAGUUUGAAUUUUAAAAUUUUCAAUUGAAGACACAGCUUUGCAUGACAAGAUGAACUCAAAUAAAAAUAAUUACCAAAUACAAAAUUUAAUAACUUCUCAAGAUCUACAGAGUUUGUUUUAGUUGUUUUGUCAUUUGUUCAUCCGAUAUGGUGAUUCUAAUAUUUUUUAUAAAUCUUAUAUAUCUCUCUUGUAGUUUAAUAAACUAUAAGAGAGAUAUGUAAAACUUGUAAACAAAUUUAUUUUGGCUUUGUCAAAUAAAAAAAUGAUCAAAAUAAAUGCUGUAGAUCUUGAGAAGUUAUAUAAUUUUGUAGCUAAAAACUUUUUAAUUCGAAUUCGUUUAGAGCUUCAAAUUUUGAUUUGAAAUUUUCUGAGUGUUUUUUUACACUUGGUAAAGAACUUCUUUGCCGAAUGUCAAAAAAAAAAACAGUCAGCAAAGUAGAGAUUCUAGUAGUGGUUAGUGGAGUGGUGACACAUGAGUCACAAUUCGGCCGUGUGCUUCGCCGCGGUCACGAUCAGUGGUCACAAGGAAAAGUUUUGCCAGCACGCUGCAGUGCAGGAGCAGGACGCUUGAGUCGUCACAAUCGGAAUAUCAUUUCGGAUGCAGCUCAUUAAGCUAUCAUUGAGGAUCAAGACUGCUCAUUGCGAGUCUUCUCUCGGAUGUAUCGGAAGAAUGUGUUUGGUCUUUGAGUAAAGCUUGGUUUAGUUCACUUUAAAAAUCAAAAAAAAUUUAAUACAAAAAUAAAAACUAAUUAUAUAGUUUAUCUGUAAAUUGUGAGAUAGCGUGCGGUAAAUGCGUAGAGCAAAAAGUAAAUCGUGAGAUAAAUUUUUUAAACCUAAUUAAUUUAUAAUUAGACAAUAUUUGUUAAAUAAAAACAAAAAUAAUGUAGUAUUAAAAAAAUCAGAACUAAACAAGGCGUUACGGAGCCAUCACAAUUCACAAUCGGAACACCAUUUCUGAAUUCUCAUGCAACUCGUUCUGCACAUUGUGAGUCCGGAAUUUACACAUGGGUUGACAGCACCAACACCAAACUGUCGUGAUAGCGACGCGCAAAUGGCUGAACAGUGUUCAUUCAAAAAAAAAAGGUGAACAGUGGUUCCCUUUCUUGGGCCAGCGCUCUGGGCCGUAAAUUCCGCAUCAGUGCCUACUGGCAGGUUGGGCUGGGCCUUGGAUGGUAUCGAGAGUGACGCUGUAACGAUAAAACCCUGAUACGUCUGCACUAUAAUAACUGUACUAAUAUGCACGCCUUUGACAAUAGCUAAAGUAAAAGCAUCCAGUCUGUAUAUGGACGUAUCACAGCUUUUAUAAAUAAAAUUUAUAAAGUUUCAACCAUUGGGCAGACAUCAUCAUUUUUAUAGUUAGAUUAGACAUGAUGCAUAACGCAUCCACCAACCUUGGACAACAGCGUCUCCACCAACCGCCCUGAGACCUUUAUCAACAAAGAGACGCGUAAGGGCAGUCCCAAUAGCAAUUAAUAAACAGUUUCUAUCUUCAUUAAAUAAGACGUCACAUAUGUAAAACGCUGACGUGGCAACAUGAUUAAUGAAGAAAGAGAGACUAAAUUGAAGAAACCGUUUUCUCAUGAAGAAACGGCGUCGACUCUUGAACCGAGAGAUAAAAGAAACAGCAAUUUUUUCAUUGGGAAGAAACCACUGGCGUCUAUAGAUGGAGGCCGCGAGUUGCGUACGCGCCUGCAUCGCCGCGAACAGCUGACCGCCAGCUACGACGCGUCUUCGCCCACAGCAGCCGCUCGAACGCGCUCGCCCGCCCCCCCGCCGGCCACGGUCGACGCCGACCCGCUCGCGCGCACCACCAUGGGAGCUCGUCGGAGCCACCGCUGGACCUCAUCGGAGCCUGCUCGCGGUCGCGACGGGAUUGGUUUGGUCACCGCUGAUGGUCCUCCGCGCUCGUCCCGCUUGCCGCUGCCAGGCGGUCGCACUCGCCGCGGCGCAGGCCGCUCGCCAUCAGUCGCGCUCGCUGUCGCCAGGUUGCGCAGGCCGCGCUCGCCGCGACGUAGAUCGCUCAUCGCUGCACAGGUCACUGGCCGCGUCACACCGCAGCAGCCAUGCAGGACGUGCUUGCCCCCAGCCGCACUGACCCGCCGCGCUCGCUCGCUAGUAUCAUGGCUGCUCGCCCGCCGGGGUGACGCGCUAGCCCACAGCUCUCCGAGGCUCCUCGCCAUGGUCCUUGCUCCUCCAUGGUGUAGAAAACGAAUGGGAGCCAACAUAUAUUGUAUUGAUCUCAAUGAAUAUGUAUUACAUUGGGUUGCAAUCUUGAGCAACCGUGUUCUUAGCCUAUGCACGAUGCGUGCUGGUGGAGAACGUGGUGACCGCGCACGCUAGCGCCUAACCAUGUCCUGCAGUUGCCGAGUUUUCAGUCAUGGCUUGUAUUCUGAUCACCGUGGAAUUAAGAGGGAGAAAGAAAAAGAAUGCAAACAUUUAUUAGCGAUGGAAACCUCCAUUGUGCAUGAUAGUUUUCAUACAUGAUAUGAAUGUUUUGGAAAACGUGUGUAGUUUCUACCAUUGGGACUGCCCUAACAAGACCACCCUAUCGAUUUAUCAUAGCCUCCCAUGCAGUCACCUGCAGAGGCGUUGCUGACUUGCUGUCACGUCGUCGAAGCAAGCGUUAAGCGGGUCAAAGCCUCUCUCGGGUGCCUGCUUCUAAGUAAGGUGAUAUCCUAAUCAUGCAACGAUUGGGUUUGGACACCGGGUUGUCAACACCAAGCAUCUCGGCGAUAAAAGGCCUACAAGAAGCUCUACGAGACCAAGACCGAGCCCAUCGUUUCCAACAUGGAAGUGCUGGCAGCACUCUUCAACAACGACGUUGGGAAUGAGUUGCGCCAAUAGAGGCGGAAGCGCAAGCUAUCUUUCUAGGCUGACUCACUGCCUUAUCCUGGUUGUUAUCUCUAUGCUAGGAUGGUUUAGCCCAUGGCUGCAAAUCAAGAAUCCUGUAGAACUCUUUAAGAUGCGCUUGUCAAAAACAUGGUAUUUGUACUAAAUAUCUCUACCUUAAUUAUAAAGAUGCACAAAUCUUUCUAUGUAUUCGAGAAAAAAAUAUAUAAGAGGAAGACAAACCUGCUAUAUAAAAAGAAAGGUCAUCACAGUUACAAACAGACCUUUUAAUAAAUCAACCGAAUCUGUCAGCCAUUCAACAGUGUUUUUCUCUCAUAAUAAAUCUGCCAACAGUAUUUUCUACCAUGGUUUAUCAGCCAAACGAACAAAACGGCUUCAUGUGAUUUUAACAAUGGCACGGGCAGGUUUUAGAGAAAUAGGUUAAGGGUGUUUUUUUGGGUUAAAUUGUUAUGUAAUGGUAGUGGUUGUUAUUUAUCGAUAUGUAUAAUUUUUUAAAUAUUUUCUUCAAUUAUAAUGUAAUAAUAAUUUGUAGCUUGUUGAAUUAACACAAAGAUUUCUUUUGUUGACCAAAAAAUAAUUAAUAAGAUAAUAGGAAUAUAUAGAUUGGUAGACUUUGACAAGAGGAACGCGCGUGGAAGAUUUUUUUUUUUUUAAAAAAAAAGAAAACUCCCAAAAAAAAUUUAAAAAAAUUGCCACGCUGACUGACAGAUCUGAUGAUCAGAUGGUCUGGCCAGCAGAUCCGAUCGAAUUAUAUUUGCAGCUCCCGGGCUUUAUUGCCUUGUUCCGUUCUACCCGGUAACACUGAGUAUAUAUAGUGUGAACUGUGAAGCUCCCUAAAACAGCUUCUCCCGCAACUUUGCGUUUCUUGGCAGAGGAUCAAAUGGCAGCUUCGCCUUCCGACUUUGCUAUCGUUUCUUCAAUCGAAGCCUUUGAUGGGAGCACGCAGUUUCCGUACUCUGUAGUAAAGACACAGUGAGAUUACAUGCAGUGGCAACGGCAAGAGGGAAUAAAUGAAACUAGAGUGUGAACUCACUUGGUGCCCGGUAGACGACGGAGGCGGCGCCGGCGAAGUCGCACGUCCCGCUUGCCCGACGGUUGCGCUGGUAGUAGCUGUUGAACGCGUGUGAGGCGUGCGCGACCAUGGUGUUGGGCUCGAAGCACGGCGCGCCCGGCUGGAUGGUGCUGCAGUCCGCGCCGUUGGCACACGCAUAGUUCAACCCAUCCAGCAGCCGCGCGUCCCCGACCGCCGCGUUCGCCACGCACCAGCUCGCGUUCGGGUCGCAGGUGCCUUCAGUUUCACACCACCAGGUUGAUCAGACGAUAGAUGACUGGAUCAUCAGCAUUAUUGUUUGCACGUUUGCAGUUUGCAUGAUCGGCAAACAAGACCUCUGAAAGCAGCAGCGAGCGAGGAAGCCGAGAACUCACCAGCUGGUUCUUGGUAGACGAUGUAACCGGCGCCGUUGAAGUCGCACGUCCCGUUGCUCCGGCCGUUCCGCUGGUAGUAGCUGUUGAACGCGUACGAGGCGUGCGCGACCACGGUGUCCGGCUCGAAGCACGUCGCGCCGGGCUGGAUGGCGCUGCAGUCGGCGCCGUGGCCGCACGCGUACUCCAGUGCCGCCUGCAGCCACGACUCCCCGACCGACGCGUUCGCCACGCACCAGCUCUCCGCCCCCGGCGCCGGCGGAACGCCGCCGCCGCGGAAGUCGAACUCGUACACCUUCUCCAUGUUGGGGUAGAAGAGGCCGAAG